ACAGUGACAUUGUCUACAUAUAGAGAGGUAGCAGGAACACCUCUUGUGCAAUUCUUAACACCUCCAUAUACUCCAUCCACCAUCUAAAGCUGGUAUGACACAAGAUCCAAUAGUGUUGAAAAGUAAAAAGCAAUAUGAUUAUUGUAAUCAAGACUUCUCCAGUUCAUUUAAAGGAAUGUUACUGUGAUACAGGGUUUUCCAUCAUUAAGAGCUGGGCACGACAAAAGAACCA
rnacentral:lncRNA from 1 species